UACGGAGGGGGCUAGCGUUGUUCGGAAUUACUGGGCGUAAAGCGCACGUAGGCGGAUAUUUAAGUCAGGGGUGAAAUCCCGGGGCUCAACCCCGGAACUGCCUUUGAUACUGGGUAUCUGGAGGUCGAGAGAGGCGAGUGGAAUUCCGAGUGUAGAGGUGAAAUUCGUAGAUAUUCGGAGGAACACCAGUGGCGAAGGCGGCUCACUGGCUCGAUACUGACGCUGAGGUGCGAAAGCGCGGGGAGCAAACAGG
rnacentral:rRNA from 1 species